CAGAGCUGUCACUCCAAGAUCAAAGAGCUUUUCUCUGAGAAGAUCUAUUUGAUUGGCAUUGCUGCCUUGGUUGUGGCUGUCAUCAUGAUCUUCGAGAUGAUCUUCAGCAUGGUGCUUUGCUGCGGCAUCAGGAACAGCCCUGUUUACUGAAACAGAGGGGCAAGAUAAUUACCUUUAAAACAUCAGCCAAAAAAAAAAUUUUUGUUUUAUAUCUACCAUUGUUUCUUAAUGUAGUCAACCUAUCCAGUUCCCGAAGUCUCAGAACAAUUUGUGUGCAUUUUUUGUUCAAAUGUUGCCGUGGAACCACCAACAACUAGUCUGCUAUUGUUCACGCUGUAGUUGGUAAAGACCAGUUGUGAUCUGUAGACUUACACACACACAGAGUACAUUAUCACAUGAAGAAUGGAUACAUUUAUUUGCUUGUAGUUUUUUUUGUGUUAACUGUUAAGUUCUGCUAUUGCUAUCGGUUAAUAUAAUUCUUUUCGUAUGUACAUGUAUAAACUGUAUAUAUUUGCAGCCCUGUAUGGCUCUUAAGCAUGAAUCUCAUAUUGAACACUCGUGUCCAUCUUCCUCUCUGAGACUGCUGUUUGUAUGUUCACGUUUCUUCCUGAGAAACCACUAAAUAAACAGUGUUAGCUAGGUGAUAGAGAAA